AUGAACACAUUUCGAAAUUUACACAAGACCAUACUUGAUUCAGAUAUCUGCCCCAUGUGUCUCCAAGCCACAGAAACUUGCUCUCGUCUAUUCAUUCAGUGUCCUACAGCAAAGUUGUUUGGUGUGGUACUGGCAUACUCCAAACUGGCAGGAAAUCAUCAAUUCGAAGCGUUUCAUGACUUUGCUCAUCCUUUGGAACAUCUGGGAUCCUUGAAACUCUCAAGUAUUCAGACAAUACAUGAAGCACAGAAAUAUGGCACGGCAAGUUGUUUUGAGACAAUACAUGAAGCAGGCCAAGCACUCCCUCUUCAAUUAGCUCAUGGAGCUUGGGGCGGCGAUGACGCACGAAAGCGAUCUGGGGCGGUGGCGAGCAACGCCUAA
rnacentral:rRNA from 1 species